CUACGACUCAUCGACUGGUAGAAUCUGUACCUCGGAUGAGUGGUGGGUCCGAAAAAUUAAGGUACCAUCAUUGCAUAUACAAACCUUCAAAUUGUCGUAUCUGCAUGCGUUGAAUUAGGUAUCUAUUCGUCUACGUUGGCAGUGGUGCUAAGAUUCGUGUUAUGGGUUUGGCGGAUUGGCCUUAACUUGUUGUCGUGUUUGCUUUUAUUUAUUUUUGAGAUUUUGUAUUGCUGCAUAGAUAAUUGUUGCAAGUUUAAAUGGCGUAAUACUGUAACGGGAACAAAUAUUUCAUUGACAUACGCCUGAUUUCAUGUUCGUUGCGUUUGGCUUUCGUUAUCCUACAUGUAACUUUUAUUCACAUUUCUACGUAACGUGUGUAAAAUUCUUUCCACUUGUAUUGUGACAGGAGAACAAAUACUACAAAGAAUUUAAGGACAGAGACUAUCGAGAUGUGUACGGAUACAAGGCUUUGUUCGGGGAUGCGUUCGACUGCGACAAGUAUGUAGUCACUCCUACUAAGGCACGUCGAAUUGGAUUGGCAAUGUUUGAGGGCAACGGAUAUGAAGACCAUCGAGAUGAGAUCACAGUCGAUGUUGAGAGCAGCAGUUCAAGUGACAAGGGUGAAAAAAGAAAUGUGACUGCAGCAAUAUGGAUGUCUCGGGACGACAUAGUGGAGACAAAUGAAAGGUAGGCACCAAAAAGUGGAAGGAAAAGAAGAAGAAGAUUUUCGUUCAGGAGCUAUCAUUCUCGGUGGAUCGGGGGACAACGACCAGUAAGAGGGUUGCUGACGAACUCGACAACCUCAUUGGACCGCCUGUUUAGGACCUAAAGACAUGCAUGCAGGAGUUAUUGGGAAUAGGUUGACUGGAGAAAAAUACGGAUCUAUACUUCUAGACGUGUACCUUUCUUUCCCAAAAACGCAACAGGGAGAUGUUGGAUAUGCAAGACAAUGCGAAAGAAAAAUUUGCAUUGGUGGAAUGGAAUUGGUAGGAGUAUCGUAAAGCAUAGUCUCAGUGAUGUUUUUGUUUGAGUGGUCGGACUGUACCUCUUUUUCAAUUGUGGUCAUUUGGGUUGCUUUGUAAUUUGAAACAUUUUCUUAUGUCAU
rnacentral:lncRNA from 1 species